GAUGAACGCUGGCGGCGUGCCUAAUACAUGCAAGUCGAGCGAACGGACGAGAAGCUUGCUUCUCUGAUGUUAGCGGCGGACGGGUGAGUAACACGUGGAUAACCUACCUAUAAGACUGGGAUAACUUCGGGAAACCGGAGCUAAUACCGGAUGAUAUUUUGAACCGCAUGGUUCAAAAGUGAAAGACGGUCUUGCUGUCACUUAUAGAUGGAUCCGCGCUGCAUUAGCUAGUUGGUAAGGUAACGGCUUACCAAGGCAACGAUGCAUAGCCGACCUGAGAGGGUGAUCGGCCACACUGGAACUGAGACACGGUCCAGACUCCUACGGGAGGCAGCAGUAGGGAAUCUUCCGCAAUGGGCGAAAGCCUAACGGAGCAACGCCGCGUGAGUGAUGAAGGUCUUCAGAUCGUAAAACUCUGUUAUUAGGGAAGAACAUAUGUGUAAGUAACUGUGCACAUCUUGACGGUACCUAAUCAGAAAGCCACGGCUAACUACGUG
rnacentral:rRNA from 1 species